GUGGUAUGUGAAGGGACAUAGAGAAGGUUAGUACUCAUCUUGACAAGGAUGGAAAAAGCUCUGGGGCUUAACAACAGACAUAUGGUUAAGGGAUUGCCUCCUUGUCAUUUU
rnacentral:ncRNA from 1 species